rnacentral:rRNA from 1 species
AAAUUGAAGAGUUUGAUCAUGGCUCAGAUUGAACGCUGGCGGCAGGCCUAACACAUGCAAGUCGAGCGGAAACGAGUUAUCAGAACCUUCGGGGGACGAUAACGGCGUCGAGCGGCGGACGGGUGAGUAAUGCCUAGGAAAUUGCCCUGAUGUGGGGGAUAACCAUUGGAAACGAUGGCUAAUACCGCAUAA